AUUGAACGCUGGCGGCAUGCCUUACACAUGCAAGUCGAACGGCAGCACGGGUGCUUGCACCUGGUGGCGAGUGGCGAACGGGUGAGUAGUACAUCGGAACAUGUCCUGUAGUGGGGGAUAGCCCGGCGAAAGCCGGAUUAAUACCGCAUACGAUCCACGGAUGAAAGCGGGGGACCUUCGGGCCUCGCGCUAUAGGGUUGGCCGAUGGCUGAUUAGCUAGUUGGUGGGGUAAAGGCCUACCAAGGCGACGAUCAGUAGCUGGUCUGAGAGGACGACCAGCCACACUGGGACUGAGACACGGCCCAGACUCCUACGGGAGGCAGCAGUGGGGAAUUUUGGACAAUGGGCGAAAGCCUGAUCCAUCAAUGCCGCGUGUGUGAAGAAGGCCUUCGGGUUGUAAAGCACUUUUGUCCGGAAAGAAAUCCUUGACUCUAAUACAGUCGGGGGAUGACGGUACCGGAAGAAUAAGCACCGGCUAACUACGUG
rnacentral:rRNA from 1 species